AGCACAUCACAUGCUGCUAUGUGUUGUAAUCCUGCUCAGGAAUGUGAUUUUACAUUUAAAAAAAUACAAAUUCUAUAAUCCAUUAAUCACAUAAUUGAAAUUGACCUACUCCGAAACCAAUACCCUUCUUGCCUGUUUUAAUUGUUACCCUCAUCACAUCUUUGCCUAAUGCUAUGUGACAGUUUGUUCUGUCACAACUAAACCGGCUGAGUAAUAAACUGCUGUGGGGAAUGCUGUCAGCUGCCUUCUGCUGGACUAUCUGUGUAAAGGUUCAGCCCUGGCUCAGUUAUGUGUUGCAGCUGUCCUUGCAGCACUCACUACAAUCCACAGUACACACCAUAGCAAUUUCCGAGAGGAGAUCUCCACGGAUUAGAAUGAAACUGAGAAGGCUGUUUAUUGACUACAGCUCAGCGUUCAACACCAUAGUGCCCUCAAAGCUCAUCACUAAGCUAAGAACCCUGGGACUGAACAACUCCCUCUGCAACUGGAUCCUGAACUUCCUGACGGGCCGCCCCCAGGUGGUAAGGGUAGGCAACAACACGUCUGCCACGCUGAUCCUCAACACUGGGGCCCCUCAGGGGUGUGUACUUAGUCCCCUCCUGUACUCCCUGUUCACCCACGACUGCGUGGCCAAACACGACUCCAACACCAUCAUUAAGUUUGCUGACGACGACAGUGAUAGGCCUGAUCUCCGACAACAAUGAGACAACCUAUAGGGAGGAGGUCAGAGACCUGGCAGUGUGGUGCCAGGACAACAACCUCUACUUCAAUAUGAGAAAGGAGCUGAUCGUGGACUACAGGAAAAGGCGGACCAAACAGGCCCCCAUUAACAUCGACAGGGCUGUAGUGGAGCGGGUCGAGAGUUUCAAGUUUCUUGGUGUCCACAUCACUAACAAACUAUCAUGGUCCAAACACACCAAACAGUCGUGAAGAGGGCACGACAUCACCUUUUCCCCCUCAGGAGACUGAAAAGAUUUGACAUGGGUCCCCAGAUCCUCAAAAAGUUCUACAGCUGCACCAUCGAGAGCAUCCUGACCGGUUGCAUCAACCGCCUGGUAUGGCAACUGCUUGGCAUCUGACCGUAAGGCGCUACAGAGGGAAGUGCGUGCGGCCCAGUACAUCACUGGGGCCAAGCUUCCUGCCAUCCAGAACCAAUAUAAUAGGUGACGUCAGAGGCAACCCCAAAAGUUGUCAGAAACUCCUGUCACCCAAGCCAUAAGACUGCUGAACAAUUAAUAAAAUGGCCACUGGACUAUUUACAUUGACCCCCCCCCCCCCUCCAUUUGUUUUGUACACUGCUGCUACUUGCUGUUUAUCUAUGCAUAGUCACUUCACCCCUGCCUACAUGUACAAAUGACCUUGACUAACCUGUACCCCGGCACAUUUACUCGGUAUCGAUACCCCCUGUAUAUAGCCUUGUUAUUGUUAUUUUGUGUUACUUUUUAUGUAUUUUUUUACUUUAGUUUAUUUGGUAUAUAUUUUCUUAACUCUUGAACUGCACUGUUGGUUAACGGCUUGUAAGUAAGUAUUUCACGGUAAGGUCUACACUUGUUGUAUUCAGCGCAUGUGACAAAUAACGUUUUGAUUUGAUUUGAACCCCUGGCUUGCACUCAACAGAUUUGGUAGGACGAGUCAUGCUGACUUGACUGAUUUAGCACAGAUCAAGCAGUCAACUUACAUUAUGUUACACAAUUAUAAAAUAACCGUUUUUAAUGAGAUUCUUGAUACCUUUGAUGUACUGUAGCUUUUUAGACUGUGGCACCCACUAGUUAGAAUCAAUAACACAUUCAAUUGACAAUGUACAACCUAACAAAGAUCCUUGCAGGAUCAAAAUGUUUGUGAAUAAAGGUGCAUGAUGGAG